rfam:Aeromonas diversa 2478-85 Contig 21, whole genome shotgun sequence.
UUGUGUUAAGGGCAAACCGGUCGAAAGGUCGGGACGCAAAGCUUCCGGUCUAAGGGCUUGAAAAACCUAAGAUAGCGGAGCUACCACU